rnacentral:rRNA from 1 species
AUUGAACGCUGGCGGCAUGCCUUACACAUGCAAGUCGAACGGCAGCGCGGGAGCAAUCCUGGCGGCGAGUGGCGAACGGGUGAGUAAUAUAUCGGAACGUGCCCAGUAGUGGGGGAUAGCCCGGCGAAAGCCGGAUUAAUUACCGCAUGAGACCUGAGGGUGAAAGCGGGGGAUCGCAAGACCUCGCGCUAUUGGAGCGGCCGAUAUCAGAUUAGCUAGUUGGUGGGUAAAGGCCUACCAAGGCAACGAUCUGUAGUUGGUCUGAGAGGACGACCAGCCACACUGGGACUGAGACACGGCCCAGACUCCUACGGGAGGCAGCAGUGGGGAAUAUUGCACAAUGGGCGCAAGUCUGAUGCAGCGACGCCGCGU